UCAUUCAAUGGGAUAUUUUUAUGGCAUGUAGGGGUGCCACUAUGAGGUCCCAUGAAGAAGUAUGCAAAAAAAGAACUUAUUUUUUUGCAAAACUCUAGAUUUUAAAAUCUUAAGAUUUAUUGUAUGUGAUGCAAAUUGUAUAAAAAGUAAUAACAUGUAAUCUUAAUGAUUAAAAUUAUUUAAAUAAGAUUUAUGAUUAUAAAUAAUUUAGAUAUGAUCUAAAAAGAUUUUAUGAUUUAAUGUAAAAUAUUUACAUGAGAAAUAGUUUCAAAAACUUAAUUUUAACCCAUGUUGAUGCUAAACUUAAUUAAGAAUUAAGUGUAGAAUCGAUUAGAUCUAAAAUUAUGAUUUAAGAUCUAAUGAUAUUGCAUAAAAUAUGGAGGCAUGGGUUAGCUUAAAUUAGAUCCUCUUAAUUGGGUUAAACCUAGGGUCAGAAUCAAAGAGUUAAUAGACUAUGUAGAGAAAUUGAUUAAAUCUAACUAAAUAUUGAAUUAGAUUAAAUUAAAAUUUUCUCUAGAAUCAAUAUAAUAGUUAUAGAUGGUCAAGUCCAUAUCUUUGAUUAGACCAAAUAGACCUUGAUUGAGGCUCAGUGGUUGAACUCGAGUC
rnacentral:lncRNA from 1 species